rnacentral:rRNA from 1 species
AUUGAACGCUGGCGGCGUGCCUAACACAUGCAAGUCGAGCGGUAACAGGUGUAGCAAUACAUGCUGACGAGCGGCGAACGGGUGAGUAAUGCUUCGGAAUCUGCCCAUGUAGUGGGGAAUAACCAGCCGAAAGGUUGGCUAAUACCGCAUACGACCCUUGCCCACAAGGCAAAGGUGAAAGCAGGGGAUCGCAAGACCUUGCGCUAUUGGAUGAGCCGAAGUCGGAUUAGCUAGUUGGUAGGGUAACGGCCUACCAAGGCGACGAUCCGUAGCUGGUCUGAGAGGAUGGCCAGCCACACUGGGACUGAGACACGGCCCAGACUCCUACGGGAGGCAGCAGUGGGGAAUAUUGCGCAAUGGGCGAAAGCCUGACGCAGCGACGCCGCGUGGGUGAUGAAGGCC